UGGAUAGCUCAGUCGGUAGAGCAUGGGACUCUAAAUCUGAGGGUCAUGGAUUAAAGCCCCACAUUGGGCAAAA
rnacentral:tRNA from 1 species